CGGGAAGUUCCCCUCGGGGAGCAGUUGAGGGAUUGCUUGUGUGCAGAACUACCAUGAAGUGUCUCCUGCAGUGAUGUCGUUAUACAGGUCUUUCUUCAGAAUAAUUCUAAACUUUGGCUGCUGUUGAAGGAGAUGCUGGGUAUUGUUGUGAUGGGCCACCAACGUGAGGCCAGUGCCAAGGCACCUUCUUGGGAAAUGAUGCCAUUUGGGUGCUUGCAACCAGUUCUCUGGAGAUAUUGAGUGAAGACUGAGUCGACUGUAGCUGAACAAAGGGAAGAUGAAAGAGGCUGUGAAAGAAAUCGUGCCAUUGAGAAUAGACGACUUAAUGGAGUUGUGGAGGUGUGUCAGAUGGGAUUUGUCUUCAUCACUGUGAGCUGCCCCUUUGUGCAGCUUCCUAUUGCUUAGAUCACUUCAGCUUCCAGCAAACUGAAGAAUGCUCACUUUGUUCAAGCCUGUGAGUUGCAACUGACUUAAUUGCUUAGAAAAACAUCUUUACAGGGCAAAGCAAAAGCAAACAAAAUGCUCCAAGAGUGCAGAAGAGUAGACUGAAAGAGAACUGGCACAGAAGGUAAGCCAGUUCAAUAACCGUGUUAUUUAAUGCAAAUUUAGUGUAAAUAACAGAAUAUAGACCAGUA